rnacentral:rRNA from 1 species
UGCUAAUACCGCAUAAUGUCUUCGGACCAAACGGGGCUUCGGCUCCGGCGCAAAGAGAGGCCCAAGUGAGAUUACCUAGUUGGUGAGGUAAAGGCUCACCAAGGCGACGAUCUCUAGCUGUUCUGAGAGGAAGAUCAGCCACACUGGGACUGAAACACGGCCCAGACUCCUACGGGAGGCAGCAGUGGGGAAUAUUGCACAAUGGGGGAAACCCUGAUGCAGCCAUGCCGCGUGUGUGAAGAAGGCCUUCGGGUUGAAAAGCACUUUCAGUUGUGAGGAAAAGUUAGUAGUUAAUACCUGCUAGCCGUGACGUUAACAACAGAAGAAGCACCGGCUAACUCCGUGCCAGCAGCCGCGGUAAUACGGAGGGUGCGAGCGUUAAUCGGAAUUACUGGGCGUAAAAGCGCACGCAGGCGGUUUGUUAAGCUAGAUGUGAAAGCCCCGGG